rnacentral:rRNA from 1 species
CCUACGGGAGGCAGCAGUGAGGAAUAUUGGUCAAUGGACGAGAGUCUGAACCAGCCAAGUAGCGUGAAGGAUGACUGCCCUAUGGGUUGUAAACUUCUUUUAUAUGGGAAUAAAAUGUUCCACGUGUGGGUUUUUGUAUGUACCAUAUGAAUAAGGAUCGGCUAACUCCGUGCCAGCAGCCGCGGUAAUACGGAGGAUCCGAGCGUUAUCCGGAUUUAUUGGGUUUAAAGGGAGCGUAGGUGGAUUGUUAAGUCAGUUGUGAAAGUUUGCGGCUCAACCGUAGAAUUGCAGUUGAAACUGGCAGUCUUGAGUACAGUAGAGGUGGGCGGAAUUCGUGGUGUAGCGGUGAAAUGCUUAGAUAUCACGAAGAACUCCGAUUGCGAAGGCAGCUCACUGGACUGCAACUGACACUGAGGCUCGAAAGUGUGGGUAUCAAACAGGAUUAGAUACCCCUGUAGUC